CGGCCUCGUCGUGUCAUCGUGGCUCAGCGCACAUCGUCAGCUGGGCUUGCACGCGCACCCUCAUGCGCACACCCAGACGCACACAGAGAAGUUCUCAGGAAUACGCUGACCCGCUUUUCUUCGCUUUUUUUUUCCGCGCCUUUUUGCACACGCAAACACGCCUCUGCUCUCCUUCCGUUUGCGUGGUCGCCUAGUAUGCGCUGCUUGCGUACAUGGGUGCACGCUAGCCAUGAUGUCGUUCGACAGUGUGCCUCCUGACACAGCGACGAUCACCGCUGUGCCAGCGUCGGCCUUUCGCUACGUGCAGACUGUGGCGCCGUCAGUGCUGCACGUCUUCGCUCUUGUUGUAUACGUAAUUAUUAUGAUCUGCGCCGGCCACGUUCAUCCGCGCGUCGUUAACACGACCCUCACGGUUGCGAUGCUCUGCGUGCUGAUGGCCAGCCUGCUUAGACGAAUCGCUCCCUUUGUGUUCAUCGAAGUCGGCCAUUAUCGCUACGAGCGCGUCUCCGCGACUGUUACGCGGCUGCUUCCCAACACGUACCAGUCAUGGUUUGCGGUGCAAACGUUGGUCGUUGUCGCAGUCGGACACCCGUUGUGUCUCUACCUCUUCACACACUACACGGCGAAGGGGAACCUCUACGCCUUCGCAAUGUUCGGACUUCCCGGUACCUUGAUGGGGCCCUUGUUUGCCCUCUGCCUUGGCAUUUUGAUUUGCGCGGGGCUGUUGGGGGUCCUCGUGGGAGUGGUUUUCCUACCCGCUAAGGGCUACAAUCCUUUUCACGUGCGCGCGCCAGGGGACCGUGUGCGGACGUGGAUUUGCCUAAGCUCCUGGUUUCCUCUAACACUACUACUGAUGGUGCUCUUCUGCGUCGGCCGCCUCCUUCCCUGUGACGGAACGCAUACGAGCGACACUGCCACCUCUCCUCCGUACACGUGCGGCAGCGGUGCCCAAUGGUUCGCUGGCAUGUUUGCUUGGCUCUUGACCGCUGUGUCGUUUGUCAGCCUUGACGUCGGCAUCGGGUUUCUUCGGCUGCUAGGGGGUAAGGACGUGCCGUACUACGCUCUGGAGCCUCGCCUUGACGGCCUCUUCUGCGAGCUGUUGGUGUGGGCGCUUAAGGUCACGGCGGUGGCGACGGUGCUGCUGGCAUCGGUGGCUCUCUACAUCAUUACCGCGGCUUUGUUCCUCGGUCUCCUCGUCUUUACGUUGCGCCGACACACCGCCACCUCUGAGGCGUUGGAGGGGAUCAUCCGAUGGACCAUGACAGUGGUGCUGGUGACGUGCGUUAUGUCGUGCUUCAUGUCCAUCGGCUCCAUCCCGGCCUUGGUGCAAGGGCUUCUCAUCUUGCUAGCCUGGUUGAUCUCCGUAGGAUGCGCCGUCGCACUCUACCACCGCCGGUUUGGUUGGGAGCUCUUCGGCAGCGGCAGCGGCAUCACUGCAGACCUUAUCGUUGUGUAGCGGGUUCGCUGUGGCUUUUUUCCCGUUCAUAUGUGUACCCCUGCCACCUCAUCAGCGCCCGAGGCGGCUAAGGUGAAGCAAGCGAGACAAGGAAUUUACGCGGCUGCAACAAAGCAGCAUGCGUGCACGGGCUUGCACCCUCUUCUUACCGUGAAAUAUAGAAAACAGGUAAUGGAGGAGGCAGGCAGGCACCGCCGUUGUCCUCGGGCGCCGGCAGCGUCAUGUGGUGCACAGGACGAGCGCGAAGUGAUUUCGUUCUCUGCCCCUCCCGUAGGCGCAACUCCUUUCAUGCUGCGUGGGUGCGCCUCUGCGGUGUCGCGCGCCUUUACGCAGCACUGCCCGUCCCUCCUUGAGCCUCUGGUUUUGCUGCAUUUUCUCCUUGCCAUCACCACUGCCAUUCUGCCCAG
rnacentral:misc_RNA from 1 species